ensembl:lncRNA
CGGCAAAGGUAACGUGCAUGUUUACCGGUAUGUCUGGAUCAUAUUGCAAUGGCACGAAGACACAUUGAAGCAUUUCAGUUUGACCCAGAAUCCGAUCCAGAUGGAGAAGCAACGGAUGAAGAAGUUGCAACUCAGCGCCUCCAGAAGGAUGUUUCCGAAUGCUUCUGUGGAGCAGGUCUACGUUGUGGGUGCCCACUUCCAAAUCAUAAUAGCGCUGGCACCAAUGGCAGCAAAUAUCCUGCAGAGAGCACACUAGCGGGAGAUGAAGCAGCACUGCCAAAUUGCAGUAGGUUUUUGUGUUAUCAUACUACCUGCUGCUUCCUCUGCUGCGCCUACUAGCUCCUGGCCUCACCACCCAACCUUCGCCGUCAGCUCUCCCCCAGCUUCGGACCUGCCUACACAGUAUUCUCGGAGUACCCUGGC